rnacentral:lncRNA from 1 species
UCGAGCAAAAUAGUCCGCUUUUAUAUUCAAAUUUCUUGGAAUAAGAGAGAAAGAGCCAUUAUCUGAUUCCUUAUCUUUUAUGUCAUAUUUUUAUAUUCCUACUUUCCUUGUAAACAUCCUCCAUGAGGAUCACCUUUUAAGUUAUUAAUGGUAAUCAGCUGUAAAAAAAAAAAGAGAAAGAGAGAAAAAGUUGAGAAUUCUUCCCUAUCAAUGUUGAAAUCCUCCAGGUAAACAGAGAAG